CAUGCAUUGGAGAUUAGAGAACAGUGUUCAUUAAGUGUGUUUUCAAAUAAGUGACGUUGGCCGGAUGAUGGCAGAUGGAAGUUUUUAAACAAUGGCCCUCAUUUUUUUUUAUUUCGUUGUAUAUAUACAGGGUUCUACAAUUACACGUUGGAUAAUCCUUUGCUGACUGCAUCAUAUAGCAUAAUAUAUCUGUUGUUAUUCAACGCUGUAGCUAUAACACUAUCAAUCGCUAAAAUGCAUUGCUUGAACACGGUUCUCAUAGCGUCAGUCUUGGGUGGCAUGUUAAAUGGCAUUACUUAUGGGAAGUACAUGGAUAAGCAUGGGGUACACCGUCGUAAUGCUGAUGUGAAAUCGAUGGAAUAUUUCAUCCGCAUGGCAAUGAAUCCAGACCCAGACUGUCUGCACGACCCAGCGUGUGGUUUAAUCGACUUGGAAGCCAAUGGUAGGAAAAAGAGAUUAAAUACACAACCUAAUCUUCACCUAAACACUGCUACGCUGUUGGAUCCGAAUGAACAGUAGAAGGAUACUGAUCCCAGCGCUGCAGUUGCAGAAUAACUUAAAUACAUGUAUAUGCUAGGAUAUAAUAAUAAAAUUUUGACACACGG